CUAGGCUGUUAAGGCCACCAAGCUUGUCAGACAAAGCUCACGACACCUUUGAUUUCAGAAUGAACUCAAAUCCGAAGACCCAAAUCGAGCCCCGACUUUGUAUCCAGCAGGGCGUGAAUCAUCCGACAGAUGGUGGGGGUGCAUUUCAAGAGGCACAGAGGGAACAGGAGCGGCCCCUCAGAUAGCCCUGUGGUGCCAAGCUGUUCUCCCCCCAGAGCAGGCUAAGCACCAGGGAACUUUGUGGCUUCUGCUCUUACGGGCUUCAGGGAGCAGCUGUGACCUAGCAAACUCAAGUAAUUGAGACUGGAGACGAGAAUGCAGAUGUUGGGAUCUAGCUCAGGCUGGGUCACAUGUCGACUCUGAAGAAGGGGGGGAUAGCAACUGACAGCACCCCCAGGAUUGUUAGGAGUCGCUUCAAGCUCUUGUCUGAGCAAGCCUGUUUUGUCAUGGAUGGUUGAAAUACUUCAUGGAAUAUUCUACUUCACAAGAGUUAAUAACAAAAAGGAAUAUGCAGGCAGGUUUUACCAGAAGGUCUGUUUUUCUCCAUCUCCACUUAAUGAGUGUUUAAGGAAGGGGUCCCACAUCUCUCAGGCCCCUUUGCCUUGGCCUCAACAGCAUGUGGGUGCAAGCAAGGUGUGUGACCAUGAAUAGCCAAGCCUCAGAGCCCGGCAGUACUUCCGAUAUCCAGCCGCCUCCUCCUCAGCAUCGCAUAAGGCAGCCUGUGCUCCAGGGCAGGCUGCCUGCCUGGACCUCCUCUGCCUGCGGCUGCUUCCCACCUGCUUCUCAGAGAGAGCACCCUCCUGUUCCAGCAUGUUCCAGGGUGUUGCCCCUGCAGCUGCACAGCAUCUAAUGCCUCCCCAAUGCCAUGGCCAACCAGUCCCUGUGGGGGGCACCAGAGCCCACAGGUCACCAAAGCAGCUGUGGUUCAUUGAGACGCAGAGGUAGGUGGGCAAGCAGAGGGAGAAGGACUCCCUGAGUAGCUCCACCCUCU
rnacentral:lncRNA from 1 species